AUGAAUGUGAAAGAGGGUGAGGGAGUUGGAAUUUUUGUGUGACUUUUAUGAAGUUUUGAAGCUGAUUUCUUUGUGAUUUUUUCUCCCAUUGUUGCUAUUUUUUUUCUUGUUAUAUAAUGUGUAUUUUAGCAAUGCUUGAGAUCUAGAUUUUUAGGCAUAUUUGUGAGUGGGUUGUGAGAUUUUUAGUGAGUGAAAUGGUGAGGAAAAGUGUGAAGAAAAUUGGUGAAAAGUGUAACUAUAUAGAAACUUUUUAUUUCAUUCGAUUGCAUUUUAU
rnacentral:lncRNA from 1 species